rnacentral:rRNA from 2 species
AAUUCUAGAGCUAAUACAUGCAGCAAGUCCUGUCUCCUUGUGAGCAGGGCGCAGUUAUUAGAUCAAAAACCAAUCGACCGUACUUUCGAGUGCAGUCGCUCUUUUGGUGAAACUGAGUAACCACAGCAAACCGCAUGGCCUCGUGCUCGGCGGUCUGUCGGUCAAGCAACUGCCUUAUCAGCUUGUUGUUAGGUUAUAUGCCUAACAAGGCGUCAACGGGUAACGAACGAUCGGGGUCGGACAUCGGAGAGGGAGCCUGAGAAACGGCUACCACUUCCAAGGAAGGCAGCAGGCGCGCAAAUUACCCACUCCCGGCACGGGGAGGUAGUGACGAGAUGUAUCGAUGCGGGGCAUUUUUGCCUUCGUAAUCGGAAUGAGUACACUUUAAAUCCUUUAACGAGGACCUAUUGGAGGGCAAGUCUGGUGCCAGCAGCCGCGGUAAUUCCAGCUCCAAUAGCGUAUAUUAAUGCUGCUGCGGUUAAAAAGCUCGUAGUUGGAUCUGGGUUCCCGACGGGCACUAUAUGCAGCUUCGGCUGUUUAUAUGUGCUAUACGUGUUGCUUCGGCAGCACUGCCGACGUAGCUAGUCUCAUUCGUAGGCAAGUUGCGUUGGUCGUCGGGACCACGGGCCAAGUCUUGGAGCAUGCUCUUUACUGAGUGUGCUACUCGCUUGGUGCGUUUACUUUGAAAAAAUUGGAGUGCUCAAAGCAGGCGUACAGUCGCAAUGCGGCCAGAACAGUGGUGCAUGGAAUAAUGGAAUAGGACCUCGGUUCUAUUUUGUUGGUUUUAAGAAUUCGAGGUAAUGAUUAAGAGGGACAGGCGGGGACAUUUGUAUUGCGACGUUAGAGGUGAAAUUCUUGGAUCGUCGCAAGAC